UUGGGUGGUCAAACAUACCACAAUGAUCGUCCAGGCUCAGCUCCUCUGGCUGGUAGUGCCCUGGAUCCAGGGCUCCAGUGGACAAGCUGUGCUGACUCAGACUCCAGCAUCCCUGUCCCUGUUUCCAGGAGACAGGGUCACCAUCAACUGCAGAGCCAGUUCCAGCAUUAAAGCCACAUCAGAAGUUAGCUACUUAAACUGGUACCAACAGAAACCAGGGCAGGCUCCUAAGCUCCUUAUCCGCUAUGCCUCCAGUCGUCCCUCUGGGAUCCCAGAUCGGUUCAGUGGCAGUGGGUCUGGCACCGACUUCACUUUCACUAUCAGCCGGGUUGAAGCUGGAGAUGCUGCAAAUUAUUACUGUCAGCAGAGCUUUCAAAACACGUUCACAGUGAUGCAGACCCAUACAAAAACCUCCAACCUGAGGCUAAAGUCCAAGUUGCUGUCAUAA